rnacentral:ncRNA from 1 species
CAAACUGAUCUCAGAAGCAUCAACUCCUGUGCCACACACACACAGAAGGAGGAGUCCUGGCCCCACGUUGCUCUUUGGGAUGGCUGCAGAUGACCUCUUGCUGGGAACUGUUCUGUCACAAACCCCUCUGAGUGCUGGGCCCAGGGCUUCUCAGAGUCAGGUUGCUUGGGAGUUCAGCCCAAAGUGGGUGGUAACCUCCAUCUAAGGCUAAAUACCAGCAGGAGACCAAUAGCCAACAAGUACUGUAAGGGAAAGUUGAAAAGAACUUUGAAGAGAGAGCUCAAGAGGGCAUGAAACCGUUAAGAGGUAGUCACCAGUGGCGUCCCCCAGGGAUCAGUGCUGGGCCCCAUCCUCUUUAACAUCUCCAUUGAUGAUCUGGAUGAGGGGAUGGAGUCAGGCAUCAGCAAGUUUGCAGAUGACACCAAGCUUAGAGCAGAGGUUGGUCAGUUAGAGGGCAGAAGGGCUCUGCAGAGGGACCUUGACUGACUGGACAGCUGGGCAGAGGCCAACAGGAUGGCA